GACGAACGCUGGCGGCGUGCCUAAUACAUGCAAGUAGAACGCACAGUUUAUACCGUAGCUUGCUACACCAUAGACGGUGAGUUGCGAACGGGUGAGUAACGCGUAGGUAACCUGCCUGGUAGCGGGGGAUAACUAUUGGAAACGAUAGCUAAUACCGCAUAAUAUUAAUUAUUCCAUGAUUAUUAAUUGAUAGGUGCAAUUGCACCACUACCAGCUGGACCUGCGUUGUAUUAGCUAGUAGGUCAGGUAACGGCUCACCUAGGCGACGAUACAUAGCCCAGCUUCGAGGGUGAUUGGCGACACUGGGACUGUGACAGAGCACAUAAUCCUUCAGGAGGCACCAGGAUGGAAUGUGCGGCAAUGGACGGAAGUCUAGACGAGCAACGCCGCGUAAGGGGAGGAGGUUUUCGGAUGGUAAAGAGCGGUUGUAAGGGAAGAACGGGUGUGAGAGUGGAAGGUGCACGCUGUGACGGUAUCUUACCAGAAAGGGACGGCUAACUACGUG
rnacentral:rRNA from 1 species